AGCAGCCGCGGUAAUUCCAGCUCCAAUAGCGUAUAUUAAAGUUGUUGCAGUUAAGAAGCUCGUAGUUGAACUUCGGGGUUUACUCAUUGGUCAGGCUUAAUUGUCUGUACUGGUGAGAUAAAUCUCUACCUUCUGAGGAACUUUCAUGCCAUUUAUUUGGUGUGAUUGGAAAUCAGGACUAUUACUUUGAAAAAAUUAGAGUGUUUAAAGCAGGCUAACGUCUGAAUAUAUUAGCAUGGAAUAAUGAAAUAGGGCGGCUUGGUUCUAUUUCGUUGGUUUCUAGGAUCACCGUAAUGAUUAAUAGGGAUAGUUGGGGGCAUUAGUAUUCAAUUGUCAGAGGUGAAAUUCUUGGAUUUAUUGAAGACUAACUACUGCGAAAGCAUUUGCCAAGGAUGUUUUCAUUAAUCAAGAACGAAAGUUAGGGGAUCGAAGACGAUCAGAUACCGUCGU
rnacentral:rRNA from 1 species